rnacentral:rRNA from 1 species
AUGUUCAAUUGCCACAUCAACAUUGAGGUCUGCUCUAGCAUAAAGGCCGUCAAAUAUCUUUACAAGUACAUUUACAAGGGCCAUGAUAAGGCUUCUUUCAGCAUCGACCAGCCCGAUGCCGAUGGUAACAUCAAUGAGAUCAAGAGAUACGUUGACGCAAGGAGCGAGGCAAGAGAGGUCAUCGAGGAAUCAACCGUUGAGUUUGACGUGGAUGACACUAAAUUGGCAUCUUCCCUGAACUUGGAGCAGAGGGCCGCAUACGACGAGAUACUAGCGGCUGUUGAACGCGGUGAUGGGGGUGUAUUCUUUGUUGAUGGCCCUGGAGGUACAGGAAAGACCUUCCUAUACAGGGCG